UAGAAACUCAAUGUCAGUGGAUAUUUGAAGCACACGGUCUUGUCUCGCUCACCCGGGCAAUCCGCGCGAGGUGCGGCGCACAUAGCCAGGACCCAGAGGCGAUUAGGCGAACGGGCGGCGCGGCACGAGUCGAGUUUUGACCGUGCGGCGCGCCGCGCGCGUAUCAGGCAACAAUGGAGACGCCGCGCCUUGUAGUCGGGCGGCGUCGCGGGGCCACUCCUCGGUUCCGGCGGCGGCGCCUGCCGCAUCCGCGCGGCGGGGCACAUUGCUUCCCCUUCGCCCGCGCUCGACCACCCGUGCUUAUAACCCGGUGCUUCUACUUCCCCUCUUCCAGUUGCGUUCGAAUCCCACACCCAGCACCACUCCGUGCGGCCACGCUCUCACAAUUGCUGCGCACGCGCGUGCGUGUAUGCGUGGCUGUUCCUCAGCUGUUCCGGUCCUCCCAUUCGUGUUUCAGGGUGGGGAACACGGCGAUUCUCGAAGCUCCAGUAACGUCAGGUACCAGGUUUGCUUGAUGAGCAACGUGAGGGUGAUGUUGGGGAGCUCUUUAGCCUGGCUCAAUGGAGUAAUUCACUCUUCCCUUGCUUUACCUAAUAUAUCCUGUGCAUUAACAAGCAGCGGCUUAUGGCCAUGGGGGAGCCGAAGAAACUGCAGGAUGAAAAUAAUUUGCUUCUCGAGGAAAUACGAGUACUACAAACAGAAAUAAAAGGUGCAGUCUCGGUUACCAACAUUUUCAGGAUUAGGUUAUGUGGAUGAUAAUGUGAAAUUUCUUAAACUUCAGCAAUCCUAUGCUGCUUGUUGAUAUGAUUGUUUUACUUUCCAUUUCUUGUUCUUAACUAUAGUGGUAAGCUGCAUGCAUCAAAUACCUUUCAGUAUGCUUUUACACAUUCCAUCUUCUCAUGGCAUUUUUUCAGGUAUUCCCCUAGAAUCAACACAAUUCAGUGAGUUACCCCUGCAGAUAGAUACAAUAGUCGUUUCUGGAAUGAUCAGCAUAUCAGAAGCAUCUGAUUUUAUAGAGAAAGUUGUCACUAAUAGAAGCAUAAUACAAAGUGCCUUUUCUGAUUUUCAUCAUAAACCAAAUACUGAAUCCAUCACUUAUUAAGGGAAGCUAACCAGACGAGAAGUUUGCAUCUCAGAGGUGCCCAAAUCUUCCAAAUCUUUUCAGCUGGCUCAAAAUUUAUUGAUCCAGCAAGGAAGCGAUCAUAAGCCGACUUUGCUGAAUAUUCCCCUGCGAUUGAUGGCAGCCAAUGCACAUCCAAGUCCCCCCAUCUUAAGCUGAACUUCUCGAGUUAAUAAAUCACAGACCAGGAAAAAAAAUCAGGAGGAAUUCCGCAGGCAGACUGUCAGAUAGAUCAGUCACCCACCUAUUAUUCUGCAGUGCUUCCUGAACUGUUCUGAUUUUCUAAAGUCUCCUAGGAAUGCGGCUCAGGAGAGCUGGUGCAAUAUAACAACAGACUGACCAUGUAUCCAACGAUCAGUCUAUCCAUGAGAGGGGAAAAAUGGCAGACGACAAGGAUAGGCACGUGACCAUAGAGAGAGAAUCACUUUAAAUGCUGGUUUUGACGGUUGUUCUAUGCACAAACAGUAGCUAAUCUAGAACUUUUACUGUAAUCCUAGGACCUUUCCUUUUGGUAAAACACACAAGUAAAUCUUUAGCGUCCUUUUAGUUUGUUUUAUAGGCAAUGGGAUUAAUCUUGGAUUUUUUUUUCGGACAACGCAGGAGAGCUUCAUGUCAUUUCAUUAAGAAGAGGGAUUAAUCUCAGAUUGUACUCAAUAUUUGAAGAACUAAAAUGCUAUUGUAUUUUUCAAAACACUAGAAGAAUUCCUGAAUCCUAAUUUUCUGAGCCUGCUGAGCCAAUCACCUGCGACUGUGUUAGAUUCUGGUUCCCACACCUGUGUCCUGGUAACACUAUUCCUGCCUAUGUUGGACUCCUAUAUGGCUAUAUCCACGUGAGUGAGCUUGAAGAUACUCACAAACAUGGCAACUUGUAUAUGCUUCCCACUGAUGUUUCACCCAGUAUAACUGCAAUUACUUUAUAAUAGUCAAGUGGCAUAUUUGAUUUGAGUCUUUUGAUGUCAUAUUUGUUGAUGCUAUAUUUGAGACUAUGUUCAAUGCAGGAAACAUCUUCAUAUUGUGUAUAUCUACAGUAAAAUUUACUCAAUAACAUCAUGUGGAUCAUUAUCAACCUAUGUUGUCAGUUUUUAUCUUGUGAGAUUCAAAAAUGGGUAAUUUGGUGGAGGUGAUACUACCCAAGUAUGCAACUUCUCUUCACUAACUAAACCUUUCGUAUAUAAUACUUGAUAGACUGUUUGGACACCUUAAGCUUUUAUGUUGUAGCGGUACCAUUAGUCAUAUGAAUGGGGAAGUUUCUUUUGAGUUGAUUUAAUGUAAAAAAUGAUGAGCAAUAUAAAUUUAUAACAUGCUUCUAAGCUUCCUUUUAGUUAUUACUAUGUACGAGUAAACUCCUGAAAUUUGAAUAUUAAUAUCCAGGCGAGACAUUUUUUUGCUCAUUCUAGAUGGAUGCUCUAAACUGGACAUUCUUCUGAAGGUUUGAAUUUGAUUGUCAACUUUUAGUUUUGAUGACAUAGUUCUUAACUGUGUUUUUUAUUCCAUCAGGACAGCACGUCCCAAAUGAUUUUGUGUUAACUAGCAAACAGUUCGAGAUAACUUAUGUUUUGCAGUAUUGUCAUAUUGGUAUAUAGUCUACAAUUUUCUUCUCUUCUCGUUCUUGCUCACAUGUGUUACAUUUGAAAUUCGUUAUAAACCUUAUUAAUAUGGACUGUUUUUGGCUUGUGCCACAUUUACAUCUUGCUUAUUGCACGCAAAGCUAUCAUGCUCACCGCAUUGGUACGGCACAAAAUAGGUACAUCAGCAUAAACGUGGAUGUAAUUCAUGAUGUAAGGAGAGCUGAGGCAGAGUAUGAAUCUUAUAUUUUGCUGGUCUUUGCCAUAAUAACAAAAUAUGGACUGGGUAAAGAUACACUCCUAGUGUGCAAAAAGACGUAACAGGUCCUAUUAUCUUAUCUCGCUAUUCUCUUAUUUUAGCUGAUGCUUCUGUAUUUGUGUAGUUCUACAGGCAUUUUACUCCUAAUUUUGCCUCUUUUAUGCAGUACAUCAACUGGUGGUGGUCUUUACUAUUAGAACCAUCUCAGCUCUCCUAUUUCAGUCGUUAUAUGUUGUUAUAUGUUACAUGGCUACCCUGACGACUUUGAGCGAUAUGUAGGAGUAUUAGAUUUGGGGACUAUUGUCUCCCCCGUUGACCUUCCAAAUAUAUAUUUCAGGACACAAAACAUAAAGGGAAAUAUAAAAGUCUGUUGUGGUUAUUUUCUAGCCCACUGCUGUGUCUCUUAUUUCUCUUUGUGUGCAGAUGAAGGCAAUAAAGUAUGGAUCUGUGCCAGUACAGAUAAGCUUUCCCAGCGAUGAAUCAAGGGAGUCGGAGGAGCAUGAUUGGCACAAUACAGCACUGUCUCAGUACAUCAUCUCAACCUAUGGAGAUCCGUCUCUUUCUCAAGUACUUGAUGACUUUGUAAGUUCACAAUCUCAUGGGAGAAUAGCUAUCUUGUCACAAGCUGUUCACUGUGCACAAUCAGUUAUCUCUUAAUAGAUCAAAUAAUGUUCUGAACAUCAGCAUUGGUCGAUCAAAGUUGCAAUCAAAAGGCCCAGGAAGCUGAUUGCGUGAAACUAUCUUAUUUUCUGAAGUUACAUGCCUUUUGAGGUUUGAAUUUAGCAUAGUUUACUUAAUUACUUCCCAAUGUGCAGAACAAUGACCCAUUGCAUUGUCAGACCUCGCCGGAGAAGCAACCUCCUGUUGCCGGCGAGCUCACCCUGCUGGUCACAGAAAAGACUCA